AUUGAACGCUGGCGGCAGGCCUAACACAUGCAAGUCGAGCGAGCGGCGGACGGGUGAGUAAUGUAUGGGGACUGCCCGAUAGAGGGGGAUAACUCCUCGAGACGGUAGCUCAUACCCCAUACUAUCGGAUAACCCAUAUGGGGUUAGCUCGUGGGGGGGGUAAUGGCUCACCUAGGCGACGAUCCCUAGCUGGUCUGAGAGGAUGAUCAGCCACACUGGGACUGAGACACGGCCCAGACUCCUACGGAGGCAGCAGUGGGGAAUAUUGCACAAUGGGCGCAAGCCUGAUGCAGCCAUGCCGCGUGUAUGAAGAAGGCCCUAGGGGUGUAAAGUACUUUCAGUCGGGAGGCGUUACCGACAGAAGAAGCACCGGCUAACUCCGUGCCAGCAGCCGCGGUAAUUC
rnacentral:rRNA from 1 species